rnacentral:rRNA from 1 species
GCCUACGGGACGCAGCAGUGAGGAAUAUUGGUCAAUGGACGCGAGUCUGAACCAGCCAAGUAGCGUGAAGGAUGACUGUCCUAUGGGUUGUAAACUUCUUUUAUAUGGGAGUAAAGUGCGCCACGUGUGGCUUUUUGUGUGUACCCUACGAAUAAGGAUCGGCUAACUCCGUGCCAGCAGCCGCGGUAAUACGGAGGAUCCGAGCGUUAUCCGGAUUUAUUGGGUUUAAAGGGUGCGUAGGCGGAUUAUUAAGUCAGUUGUGAAAUUUUGCGGCUCAACCGUAAAAUUGCAGUUGAUACUGGUAU